rnacentral:rRNA from 1 species
UACGUAGGGGGCUAGCGUUGUCCGGAUUUAUUGGGCGUAAAGGGCGCGUAGGCGGCCGAUCAAGUCGGAGGUGAAAUCCCUCGGCUCAACUGAGGAAUUGCCUUCGAUACUGUUCGGCUUGAGUCCUGGAGAGGGUAGCGGAAUUCCCGGUGUAGCGGUGAAAUGCGUAGAGACCGGGAAGAACACCAGUGGCGAAGGCGGCUACCUGGACAGGUACUGACGCUGAAGCGCGAAAGCGUGGGGAGCAAACAGG